UACAGAGGGUGCAAGCGUUAAUCGGAAUUACUGGGCGUAAAGCGCACGUAGGUGGUUGAGUAAGUUUGAUGUGAAAGCCCUGGGCUUAACCUGGGAAUUGCGUUGAAAACUGUUUAACUUGAGUCGGAUAGAGGGCAGUGGAAUUUCCGGUGUAGCGGUGAAAUGCGUAGAGAUCGGAAAGAACAUCGGUGGCGAAGGCGGCUGCCUGGGUCCAGACUGACACUGAGGUGCGAAAGCGUGGGGAGCAAACAGG
rnacentral:rRNA from 1 species